ensembl:lncRNA
CUCUGUGCCAUUUGAGUGCACUUAAUGUAAGAGAGAAACAUUCACAUACCCCAAGGGCUUCCUAUUGACGUGGAAGGAAAGUGAAAGACGGUCAUUGUUGAGACCUAAUCACAACUGCCAAAGGCUUGUCACUUGCAUAGCUUAUAAACAGAUGAAGGAGGAGAAAGCCACACUUCACUCCAUGGUAAGACAGAUCUACUGUUUGAAAAGUUCAAAACCUCAGGGAGUUAAUAUCAGUAGCUGCAGCUGCAAAGUGCCUGACUUGGAGGAAGAAAUUCCAGUGAGAGAUUUUCACCAGACACCCUCACAGGCAUAACUUGAAAGAGCCAUCUAGCUGGCUAUUGAAAGAAGCAGGACUGAAUGGUGAUACCAGUAUGCUGUUCUAAAGCAAGGACAAGUAGCCAUUUAUCUGAUUUAACAGUAGGAGGCAAACUCAUCAUGAAAGACCAGGGAGAUUUUAGGUAGCUCCUUUUUUUCCACUGAACCAUAAUUUCUAAUGUGCCAAAGAGGACAGCCAAAGGAGUCCUGAUAUCAAGAAAUUAACCCAUUAUAUUUACUGGAGACAUGUUGAAACACACAGCAAUGUCCUUCAUUAAACAAGGAGUGGCCUUAAAUAAGGGCAGCUACAUGGAUGGGACUGCCUUACUUUGAAGUACCAGAUAUCUUUUGCUCAUGAUCAGCACCAGAACAACAUUCCAAGCUGAACAAAAAUUACCAGACAUGGAGGAUUCCAGCUUACAAAUUUUACAGUUAAAUGUCUUGCUGUGAAUGCAUGGUCAGUAGAUGGAUUUGACUUAUGACAAACCUGAAAUGAUAGCAUGACAAUGUUGUUAUGGAAAUGCCUAACAUAUGAAGCCAUUUAACACGAAGACCGACUUCUGAAGUGAGAGAAGCCGAUGAAAUUUCUUCUCUCUUUUGAAACCCUCUGCAUAGAGCCUAUCCUCUUGAUCUUCUGUUCUGAAGACACUUGAGAGGUGCCUUCAGGAUGGAGUUUUUUCACCUCCUUUUGUGCCCAGGACCACAAAGAAGAAUGUUGCAGUUUAGGGUUAGAAAAACAAACAAACAGACCUGGUGAGGAGGACAAGGCAAAAAGAUCUGACAAUCCUUGGAUAGUUAGGAGUUUCCUGUUUUGCUGGUGAUUAUUAAAGAAACAAAAGCAAAAUAAAUAGAGGACAAUCAAACAAGAAAAUGAUUGUACAUCAAUUUAAUGGCAUUCUUUUAUGGGUUACAGGAGAAUACUAAAGAUACAUCAUGGGAAAUAUUCAUGAAACAUAGCUCCAUUUAUGUACACAGCAUGGGCAGUUUUUUGAAAUAAUUCUUUUGACCAGCUUUAAAUGUAGUAGAAAAAUUUAAUUUCAAGAGCAUCUUGGCAAGUAGAGCAAGACUUCCAGAACAGAACACAGCAAUACUAAUGUGGGACAGGCUAUCAAUUUUUCUGCAUUAAACUGCAUCA